rnacentral:rRNA from 1 species
AUGGGAAUGGGGCCGCUCGAGAACGCCGCGGCCGUCGAGGUGCCGGUGGUGACCGCGGCGGCGGCGGGAGGGGGGUCGUACGCGCUGCUGCAGUGCGGGGAGGACUCGGCGUACGUGCGGGACGCGUACGGGGGCUACUUCGAGGUGUUCCGCGCGCUGCUGGCGGAGGACGGGGAGCGGUGGCGGGUGUACCGCGCCGUGCGCGGGGAGCUGCCGUCGGACGAGGAGGUGGCCGGCAUCGACGGGUUCGUCAUCUCCGGCAGCUGCAGCGACGCCCACGGCGACGAGCCCUGGAUCCUCGCGCUCGUGGACCUCAUCCGCCGCCAGCUCGCCGCCGGCAAGCGCGUCCUCGGCGUCUGCUUCGGCCACCAGAUCCUGUGCCGGGCGCUGGGCGGCAAGACCGGGAGGUCGUGCAAGGGCUGGGACAUCGGCGUGAGCUGCAUCCACCCCACCGCCGCGGCGGCGAGGCUCUUCGCGCCGCUCAAGAUGCCGGUGCACCUGCCCAUCAUCGAGUUCCACCAGGACGAGGUGUGGGAGCUGCCUGCUCACGCCGAGGUGCUGGCCCGGUCGGACAAGACCGGCGUGGAGAUGUUCCGGCUGGGCGACCGCGCCAUGGGCGUCCAGGGCCACCCCGAGUACAGCAAGGACAUCCUCAUGAGCAUCGCCGACCGCCUCCUCCGCCAGAACCUCCUCCUGGACUGCCAGGUGGACGUGGCCAAGGCGAGCUUCGACGUGCGGCAGCCGGACAAAGAGUUCUGGAAGAAGGUGUGCAGGGGGUUCCUCAAGGGCAGGCUCCAGCCGCAGCAGCAGAAGCAGCAACAUAAGCUGCAGCUAUAG